rnacentral:misc_RNA from 1 species
AAACUGCGAUAAGUAGUGUGAAUUGCAUUUAGUGAAUCAUCGAAUCUUUGAACGCACCUUGCACUCACUGGUAUUCCGGUGAGUACGCCUGUUUCAGUAUCAUUGAAAACACACAAUCAAAACAUUUUCUUUGGUUUGAUUGGCUUUGGGUCUAUCAAAAAGUUUGGCUUGUUUCUUACAAGCCAAGCGGCCUGAAAUAUAUUGUCUGGCUAAUUGCAUCGUUGAUGAUCGCUAUUAGACUUUGGCUUUUUUAAAUGAACUGGAGGUUGAUUAACCAGUUUUAGCUUUAGUCAAAUGGUCAUUGUAAAAAAAAUCUCGAUCUUGGCUAGGUGUUUAUAGCCGAAAAUUUUUUUUUGGCUAUAACCGAAACCAAUACAAUCACAUUUAGUUAUCGAUCUGAAAUCAGGUGGGACUACCCGCUGAACUUAAGC